GACGAACGCUGGCGGCGUGCUUAACACAUGCAAGUCGAACGGUGAGCUCCGCUUGCGGGGGGAUCAGUGGCGAACGGGUGAGUAACACGUGGGCAACCUGCCCUCAGCUCUGGGAUAACUCCAAGAAAUUGGGGCUAAUACCGGAUAUGACCGCUGACCGCAUGGUCUGGUGGUGGAAAGAUUUAUCGGCUGGGGAUGGGCCCGCGGCCUAUCAGCUUGUUGGUGGGGUAGUGGCCUACCAAGGCGACGACGGGUAGCCGGCCUGAGAGGGUGACCGGCCACACUGGGACUGAGACACGGCCCAGACUCCUACGGGAGGCAGCAGUGGGGAAUAUUGCGCAAUGGGCGAAAGCCUGACGCAGCGACGCCGCGUGGGGGAUGACGGCCUUCGGGUUGUAAACCUCUUUCAGCAGGGACGAAGCGAAAGUGACGGUACCUGCAGAAGAAGCACCGGCCAACUACGUG
rnacentral:rRNA from 1 species